CUAAAAUGCACAGGUCGUGAGUUCGAUGAGUAGGGCGGGACACGUGACAUCCUGUCUGAAUAUGGGGGGACCAUCCUCCAAGGCUAAAUACUCCUGACUGACCGAUAGUGAACCAGUACCGUGAGGGAAAGGCGAAAAGAACCCCGGCGAGGGGAGUGAAAUAGAACCUGAAACCGUGUACGUACAAGCAGUGGGAGCACCUUCGUGGUGUGACUGCGUACCUUUUGUAUAAUGGGUCAGCGACUUAUAUUUUGUAGCAAGGUUAACCGUAUAGGGGAGCCGUAGGGAAACCGAGUCUUAACUGGGCGAAUAGUUGCAAGGUAUAGACCCGAAACCCGGUGAUCUAGCCAUGGGCAGGUUGAAGGUUGGGUAACACUAACUGGAGGACCGAACCGACUAAUGUUGAAAAAUUAGCGGAUGACUUGUGGCUGGGGGUGAAAGGCCAAUCAAACCGGGAGAUAGCUGGUUCUCCCCGAAAGCUAUUUAGGUAGCGCCUCGUGAACUCAUCUUCGGGGGUAGAGCACUGUUUCGGCUAGGGGGCCAUCCCGGCUUACCAAACCGAUGCAAACUCCGAAUACCGAAGAAUGUUAUCACGGGAGACACACGGCGGGUGCUAACGUCCGUCGUGAAGAGGGAAACAACCCAGACCGCCAGCUAAGGUCCCAAAGUCAUGGUUAAGUGGGAAACGAUGUGGGAAGGCAUAGACAGCCAGGAUGUUGGCUUAGAAGCAGCCAUCAUUUAAAGAAAGCGUAAUAGCUCACUGGUCGAGUCGGCCUGCGCGGAAGAUGUAACGGGGCUAAACCAUGCACCGAAGCUGCGGCAGCGACGUUUAGGCGUUGUUGGGUA
rnacentral:rRNA from 1 species